UGUUUCGGCUAGGGGGCCAUCCCGGCUUACCAACCCGAUGCAAACUGCGAAUACCGGAGAAUGUUAUCACGGGAGACACACGGCGGGUGCUAACGUCCGUCGUGAAGAGGGAAACAACCCAGACCGCCAGCUAAGGUCCCAAAGUCAUGGUUAAGUGGGAAACGAUGUGGGAAGGCCCAGACAGCCAGGAUGUUGGCUUAGAAGCAGCCAUCAUUUAAAGAAAGCGUAAUAGCUCACUGGUCGAGUCGGCCUGCGCGGAAGAUGUAACGGGGCUAAACCAUGCACCGAAGCUGCGGCAGCGAACGUAUCACUUAAAGCGAUUCA
rnacentral:rRNA from 1 species